ensembl:lncRNA
UGAGGGGAGACAGGUCAGGAUGAGGGGAGAAAGGUCGGGAUGAGGGGAGACAGGUCAGGAUGACAGGAGACAGGUCAUGAUGAGGGGAGACAGGUCAGGAUGAGGGGAGACAGGUCAGGAUGAGGGGAGACAGGUCAUGAUGAGGGGAGACAGGUCAUGAUGAGGGGAGACAGGUCAGGAUGAGGGGAGACAGGUCGGGAUGAGGGGAGACAGGUCAGGAUGAGGGGAGACAGGUCAGGAUGAGAUCUAAGCAUCCAAAUACAAAAUAAACAUCUGUGUCUAAAGCAACCCACCUCUGCAUCAUCAAUAGUGAUGAUCAUUAGGAAUAAAACAAAGCAUCAAACCCGUCUCCCUCUAGAUCAGUCUGAUGAGGGGACCAGUGGGUUACAGGUACCUGUGUGUACGUGUGUGUACGUGUGGGUACCUGUGUGUACUUGUGUGCGUGUGUUUACCUGUGUGUACCUGUGUGUACCUGUGUGUGUAUGUGUGUGUUGAUGACCUUUCGACCCUUUCUCUGCCGCUUCCAGGGCCGCCACUGGGGGGCCCUUUGACCCCGCCCACAACCCCUAAGAAGGAGCAGGCGUGGCCUUAUCCCGAGGGCCCGCCCCGGCCCCUAGAGGCGGGCCCUGACGGCGCUGGGGGCCCGGGGCCUCUCGACUUCAGCCACCUGGACGUCUCCGAGCUGAGCGGCGACGUCAUCGGCUCCAUGGGGGAGGGCUUCGACGUCCGCGAGCUGGACAGGUACCUCCCCCCGCCGUACGGCCCCGGGCCCCCACCGGCCCCCCAGGACCCCGCUCCCGGGGCCCACGUCCUGCCCUCGUACGCCCAGUCCUUCCCUCUGAUCGACCCCUCCAGCUGGGCCCUGAAGGGGUCCAGGACACGCCCCUUCACUUCGUCUCCCUCCUCCUCGUCUCCCUCCUCCUCCUCCUCCGCCACCGGAGACGGCGUCCCGGGCGGCGAGGGGCGGGGCGGUGCGCCGAGGGGGCGGAGCAUCAAGACGGAGCCGAUGAGCCCGGAGCACUGCUCCUCCUCCUCCUCCUCCUCUCUGGUUUCCCUGCCACCCCCACUGCCACACACCUCCCUAUCCACCUCCACCUCCACCUUCACCUCCUACACCUCCUCCACUUACUCCUCUUUGUUUUCCCUACAACCCUCAUCACCGCACGCCUCCCUCUCCUCCUCCUCCUCCACCUCCUCCACCUCCUCCACCUCCUGCAGACCGCAUGAGCCCACCGAGCUGCAGAGCUCCACGGGGGGUCUCUACAGCGCCCGGGUAGGUCCCUGGACCCCCGCAGGGCUGUACCCCCACCACCAGCACCACCCCUUGUUCCAAACCCCGUUGCCGCGGGGGCCGUACGCUGUUGCCGCGACGACGAGGACGGCGGCAGAGGAACCCGCAUUCGGCGGCCCUGCUUCGACGUCCUGGGAGCCGCCCUCAGCGGCGGUCUAUUCCUCGCUCCCCCGUGAGAGAGGGAGUGACAGUGACAGGCUUUUAUUUUGAAAAUUAAGAUUGUUACAUAUCACUUUCUCUUCGAAGUACGGACAGACCAUACCAUAUGUCGGUCGUAUGUAGUACACACCUUCCCAACCUCUCCCAAGUAGUACACACACAGAUACAGACACGCACAACAGACACACACACAUACACACACAACAGACACACACAACAUACACAUAGAUACAGACACACAGAUACCCACAGAUACACACACACACACACAGAACAGACACAUAGGUAUACACACACAAAAUACACACAUAUACAGACACACACAACAUACGCACAGACACACACAACAUACACAUACUUGGCUAACCCCAAAAUGCUUUCUUACCUUUUCUGUGAAUGACUGGUGCAUCUGUGAUCAUACUCAUAGUUUAGCCUUCCUUCAAAUGUAUUCAGAAAAUAUAUAAUAUAACAAAGAUAUGUGGUUUAAUUUAUUUAUAAAGAUAUUCCUCUGUGAGGAAAAUAUGAAGCUCAAACAUGAUUUAGCCUUUCUAUUUUGUCCAAAUGAUCUAUACAAUAAUAAACUUUAUUUAUCCAGCACCUUUUAAACAAAGUGC